AGUGAACGUUGGCGGCGUGGAUUAGGCAUGCAAGUCGAGCGAGAACCGUAGCAAUACGGGGACAGCGGCGAAAGGGACAGUAAUGUGUAGGUACCUACCCCGAGGUCUGGGAUAGCUGCGGGAAACUGCAGGUAAUACCGGAUAAUGUCUUCGGACCAAAGGUGUGAUUCCACCUUGGGAGGGGCCUGCAUCCUAUUAGCUUGUUGGCGGGGUAACGGCCCACCAAGGCGACGAUGGGUAGCGGGGGUGAGAGCACGACCCGCGUCAUUGGGACGGAGACACUGCCCCGACACCUACGGGUGGCUGCAGUCGAGGAUCUUCGGCAAUGGGCGCAAGCCUGACCGAGCGACGCCGCGUGCGGGAUGAAGGCCUUCGGGUUGUAAACCGCUGUCGUAGAGGAGGAAAUGCAGGGGGGUUCUCCCUUCUGUUUGACCUAUUCUAGGAGGAGGGACGGGCUAAGUUCGUGCCAGCCGCCGCGGUAA
rnacentral:rRNA from 1 species